UCUCCAUAGGCCUAUGUCACGCAACACUUGAAGACCAGAAGAACGUCUCUGAGGGAUACGGCUCUUCCGGUUAGCUUUUUACAAUGGCGGAGCCCGAUAGAUACCGCUGGACCAAGUCUCUCCGCAACCUGCCUGAAGUCACCUACGACGAUGUGGUUCGGAUUGUAAAUGAACACUCAAGUAGAAACGUCAAAACUGAGGAAGGGAUACAAGUUCUUCUGGGAGAAAUUAAUUUUCAAUUACAGAGACGCAUCACUACAUCUUCACAGGGGAGAAAUGCGUGCCAACACUUCCGUUGUACACCAGUGAGCUUCAGUCAUGGCACCGACCAAGGACACAAGUUUUUUUCUCCAGGGGAUUCGCCGGGAACCCAUGGACCAACUUGUGGUGAGGAAACCCAAGGCACCUGGACGCAGUAGUGUCAAAUCAACACUGUAUUGAGUCUACGCAGGUAAGUGCUGUAUAUGUAUCAUUUAAUUAAUUAGGACAUAAAAAUAUGGUCUACAAGUUCAAAAGAAGAGACCCUGACGUGUAAAACAUUUAAUGAUUAAUGGUUCCUGUUACUUGUCUUUGUAAAACCCCUUCCUGACCCUGCAUUGUUGUCUGUUUGAGAUGAACUGCGAGAACUUCGACCUCAACCUGGAAUAUGCAAGAUCGUAUGUGACCUGGCCGACCUAACUUUAGUGGAAUCUAAGAUACUAAGAUUUGGGCCAGUCCCUCAAGGUUCCGUUAUGUCUUAUCAAUGCUCCCCAGAAAUAUCCAAAGAAAUCAUUAAGCACCCAGAAGCCCCCUCAUUCCCACAACUCCCCUUGUUAGGCUAUACAUUUAAACGACACCUACAGUUUGUUUCCAAUUACCUCCAGUUUUAUCACUUGCAGAGUUUAGAAGUCACCUCUGAAUUGACUAGUUUAGGGUCUAAUUGAAUAGCAUACAAGGGGGCAGUCAGAGAACCCUAUGUGGAAGGCUGUCCGCCAGCCCCGUUUAACUUCCAGUAGAUUUGGUGUUUACUCUGAGAGGGGAGUCCUCUGCUCAGGCUCUCGCAGUGAGGAUCAUGAAGGGGGUAUGGCAACCACCUGCCAUGAAAAGGGGUAUCGACCUUGAGCCAGAAAUGUUAAAUCAGUACAGUGACCAGUGUAAUGUCAAUGUCUUCCCUUCUGGAUUCAUUGUUCACCCUAAUGCAUUACCUCGGGGCUAGCCCUGAUGCAAGGGUGUAUAAUCCCACUGCAUUAAGUUUAUUAAUGGUAAGGCCAAACAAAAAGAAACCACACAAAUAUUACUGCCAAGUGCAAGGCCAGUUAGCCAUCACUGGUUUGUCAUGGUGUGAUUUCAUAACAUCAACAAAA